GUCUAUGGCCAUGCCACCCUGAAUGAGCCCGAUGUUUGAUCUUGAAAGCUAAGCAGGGUCGGGCCUGGCCAGUACUUGGAUGGGAGACCACCUAGGAAGAUCAGGUGCUGUAGGCA
rnacentral:rRNA from 1 species